UACUCCUACGGGAGGCAGCAGUGGGGAAUAUUGCGCAAUAGGGGAAACCCUGACGCAGCGACGCCGCGUGAGCGAAGAAGGCCUUAGGGUUGUAAAGCUCUGUUGUAAGGGAAGAAGAACUUAAGCGAGAAUAUUGUUUAAGAGUGACGGUACCUUACUAGAAAGCCCCGGCUAACUACGUGCCAGCAGCCGCGGUAAUA
rnacentral:rRNA from 1 species